GAUGAACGCUAGCGGCAGGCUUAACACAUGCAAGUCGAGGGGUAACAUAGAAAAGCUUGCUUUUCUGAUGACGACCGGCGCACGGGUGCGUAACGCGUAUACAACCUACCUUUUAGCGGGGAAUAGCCCAGGGAAACUUGGAUUAAUGCCCCAUAGUAUAUAGACUUCUCCUGAAGUUUAUAUUUAAACAUUUAUGGCUAUUAGAUGGGUAUGCGUCCUAUUAGUUAGUUGGUAAGGUAACGGCUUACCAAGGCAGCGAUAGGUAGGGGUCCUGAGAGGGAGAUCCCCACACUGGUACUGAGACACGGACCAGACUCCUACGGGAGGCAGCAGUGAGGAAUAUUGGACAAUGGGCGAGAGCCUGAUCCAGCCAUGCCGCGUGCAGGAAGACUGCCCUAUGGGUUGUAAACUGCUUUUACAGAGGAAGAACCACCCCCACGUGUGGGGGUUUGACGGUACUCUGCGAAUAAGGAUCGGCUAACUCCGUG
rnacentral:rRNA from 1 species